UACAAUCAUUAUAAUUUCAUAAGUAAUAGCUACAUACUAUACUAUUAUUCAUAACUGGUUAGAGAUUCUAAUACCCGUAACAUUUUGGAAAAGCAUAAUGUUAUUUAUCUUUCUUAAAAAAAUCUUCUACUCUAAGACUUAAAUUAUCAAAUAAAUUUAUCACCACUAGAUUUUUCUCUAAAAAGCUUACCCAUCUAAUCCUACAUUUAUUUUUAUAUACUGUUAAAAUAAGUAAAUUAUUACUAUUCCCCUUUCCAACUCGACCCUCUUUAAGGAGCCUGUUUAACAAAAACAUAGCCUACUAUUUAACUUAGGUACAACCCUGCCCUCUGACUUUUAACAGCCGCGGUAUCCUAACCGUGCUAAGGUAGCAUAAUCACUUGCCUAUUAAUUAUAGGCUAGAAUGAACGGGAUCACUCACUUAAACUUAUUUUUAUUUAAAUUUAAAUUAAACUUUAAGUCAAAAUACUAAAUUAAAAAGAAAGACAAAAAGACCCUGAAAACUAUUAGAAAUAAUUAGUUGGGGCAACUAAAGACCACUCUAGCGUCUAUUYUUUUUAACUCUUAAAAUCUAAAGUAUCCAGUUACUUCAGGGAUAACAGACUAAUUUUAUUAUUUAGACCCAAUAAAUAAUAAAGAUUGGCACCUCGAUGUUGGCUUAUAUUUCCUUCAUAUAGCAACAUAUAUAGAAGG
rnacentral:rRNA from 1 species